rnacentral:rRNA from 1 species
AUUGAACGCUGGCGGCACGCCUAACACAUGCAAGUCGAGCGGUAGCAGGACCUGUAGCAAUACAGGUUGCUGACGAGCGGCGGACGGGUGAGGAAUACGUAGGAACUUGCCCUUCAGUGGGGGAUAACCAAGGGAAACUUUGGCUAAUACCGCAUAAUCUCGGGAGAGUAAAGCUGCCGCAAGGUGGUGCUGAAGGAGAGGCCUGCGUCCGAUUAGCUAGUUGGUGAGGUAAGAGCUCACCAAGGCGAUGAUCGGUAACUGGUCUGAGAGGACGACCAGUCACACUGGGACUGAGACACGGCCCAGACUCCUACGGGAGGCAGCAGUGGGGAAUAUUGGACAAUGGGGGCAACCCUGAUCCAGCGAUGCCGCGUGAGUGAAGAAGGCCCUCGGGUCGUAAAGCUCUUUAGGUUGGGAAGAAGGUUAUUGGAGGAAAUGCUAGUAACUUGACGGUACCGCCAGAAUAAGCACCGGCAAACUCUGUGCCAGCAGCCGCCGUAA